rnacentral:rRNA from 1 species
AUACGGAGGGUGCAAGCGUUAUCCGGAUUCAUUGGGUUUAAAGGGUGCGCAGGCGGACUUGUAAGUCAGUGGUGAAAUCCCGGGGCUCAACCUCGGAACUGCCAUUGAUACUGCAAGUCUUGAGUUUGGUUGAAGUGGGCGGAAUGUAGCAUGUAGCGGUGAAAUGCAUAGAUAUGCUACAGAACACCGAUCGCGAAGGCAGCUCACUAAACCAACACUGACGCUCAGGCACGAAAGCGUGGGGAGCGAACAGGAUUAGAUACCCUAGUAGUCC